rnacentral:rRNA from 1 species
GACAGAGGUGGCAAGCGUUGUUCGGAUUUACUGGGCGUAAAGCGUGCGUAGGUGGUUCGGUAAGACCUGUGGGAAAUCCCUGGGCUUAACCCAGGAAGGUCGCAGGUGACUGCCGUGCUUGAGGACGGGAGAGGAGAGCGGAAUUCCCGGUGUAGCGGUGAAAUGCGUAGAGAUCGGGAAGAAGGCCGGUGGCGAAGGCGGCUCUCUGGAACGUUCCUGACACUGAGGCACGAAAGCGUGGGGAGCAAACAGG